rnacentral:sRNA from 1 species
AUUGGACGAACAAAAAU